UACGUAGGGGGCAAGCGUUGUCCGGAUUUAUUGGGCGUAAAGAGCGUGUAGGCGGCUUUGCAAGUCCGAUGUGAAAACUCGAGGCUCAACCUCGAGACGCCGGUGGAAACUGCAAAGCUAGAGUCCGGAAGAGGAGAGUGGAAUUCCUGGUGUAGCGGUGAAAUGCGCAGAUAUCAGGAAGAACACCCGUGGCGAAGGCGGCUCUCUGGGACGGUACUGACGCUGAGACGCGAAAGCGUGGGGAGCGAACAGG
rnacentral:rRNA from 1 species